AUGGACAGGGGCCAGCGGCUCCGCUCUCCGCUCCCGGUGCCGCCGCCGCUUGCGCCUUCCUCUUCCUGCCGCCGCCGAGCCCGUUCUGCAGCUCACCUGGGAGAGGCCCAGAGGGUGUCGUAAAAGGAGGGGGGAAAAAAAAAAAAGAAAAAGAAAUAUCCGGGCGGAGGAGAGGGCCCGGCCGCGGCGGCGGAGCAGAGCGGCCGGAGGGACGCAGGCGCCGCAGCCCGUGGCUCGCCCCCAGUUUGCUAGAGAAUUCUGGCCUUGCAGUAAGACAGUUGACUCUCAUUUCCAGUGUGACUGUAAAACUUGGAAAUGGCCUCCAUGUCAGGUGCUUUUGUGAGUCGAAGCGUACCAGUUGAAGUGGAUGAAUCUGUGAUGUGGUCCCCAUUUGCCGAACAUGCCUUGGAAGAGGCUUCACAAUCUUCUGGUGAGCAUAUGGAGAAUGAGGAGCCCCAGGGACCUCAAGCUGCUCAAAUGCCUCAGCCCGAUGCUGGACCGUCAUGCCUCUGCAGAGCACCACCACAUCACCAGCCUGCACUGUCUGAUGUAGCAGCCGUGGAGCCAGAUGGCAGGUUAUGGUCAAAAAGUGCCAAUGAAGAUGGGCGUUUCUGUUCCCCUCGUGAAUCAAUAGCCAGAAUAGGUCCCUCCAAGGCGCUUCAUUUAGCUAUGGAAAAAUCAGGUGGGCAUUUGAGAUCUCAGCUUUCAGCUGACACAGGGCACAAUUCCAGUAAAUCGAACAAGAGUUUGUCUGAUGUUCCUGAGGAUUCACUCGAGGACAGCAGCCAAGGGAGUUUACAGCUACAACAACCCUCAGAAAACAGAGCACCAGCAGAGUUGGCAACUGUGGAUACAGGGUACAAUUCCCAGUCACGAGACAUCAUGGGCAUCAGGCACUUAGAGCCCCCCUUACCUCUAGUGUCUGUGCUGAACCCACAGGACCUUCCAGGACCCCUGAUCUCCAGAGAGUAUUUUGGACCUGAGCAUCAGCAGCAUCCUCUGUGCCAGCACUUGCCCCAUCCUAACAUUUCAUCACAGGCUCACGGCUGCUUUAGGCACCACUGCCCAGUGGAGCAACACCCGCAGCACCCAUAUGGCAGAAGUCCUUACCAACAUUUUGCACAUACAUCUCAGCCACUUCCUCCAGUUCCUGGACCAUGCAUGAGAGUUAUCUGUCCGGCCCAGCAAGUCAUCCCAAAUUACUCUAACCUUCGCACCCCUAAAGGCACUGGAGACCGACUGCCUCAGAGGCCGUGCUCCUCCCCUGCCCAUCCGCGAUUCCCAAACCAGUUAUAUAACCAACUACCUAAUGGUCAGCUACCCCCCAAAGCACGUGGACCGGAUGAAGCAUGCUGUUGUCUAUCUGAUAAUGCUCCCUUUCCAGCUGCUGUCCCAAGACCUCUUAGCAAUCCUGCAGCCAAGGGAACUCUGAAAACGAGCAAUUUACCCGAGGAGUUGCGCAAGGUCUUUAUAACCUAUUCUGUGGACACAGCCGUGGAGGUCAUGAAAUUUGUGAACUUCCUGCUUGUAAAUGGCUUUCAAACUGCUAUUGAUAUAUUUGAGGACACGGUACGAGGCAUUGACAUCAUUAAGUGGAUGGAACGCUACCUAAGUGAUAAGACGGUGAUGAUAAUCAUAGCAAUCAGUCCAAAAUACAAACAGGAUGUGGAAGGGGCUGAAUCCCAGCUGGACAGGGAUGAACAUGGCUUACAUACUAAAUACAUCCACAGGAUGAUGCAGAUUGAGUUUAUACAACAAGGAAGUAUGAACUUCAGAUUUAUCCCUGUGCUUUUUCCAAAUGCUAAAAAGGUAACAUACAAGGGUAUAUGUUUGUUACAUAAUUAAGCAUGUAUCAUUUUGAUCACAGUGCAGCAGUGAAAUUUUGAAGAUCAAAACCUCAAUUUCUCAGUGCUUAUUAGCCCACUACUAAUAUUCUAAGCUACAUUUUACAUGAAAAGUUUACAGUUUUAUGUACAAAUAAUAUGAAAAAACCACCCACGAUAUAAGUAUCAGGACAUAAAUGUAUUUUUGAUGAUGAAUACAUAACUAAGACUCAAAUUGUCUUGAGCACUGAAAGAAUUUAAAUGGAGAGAGACAAUCUAUCAAGCAUCUUUUUUAUAUUAACCCUUUUAUAAUUUUAUCCAGAUGUUACAUUGAUGAGUGUGAUGGGAGAGAUUUAUGACUGAUGUGAAGUAAGGAUCUAGAAGGGGGUGGGUUGAGAAUAUAAAAAUAAAGAGGGCAAUAAAUACUAAAGUACUGUGCCAUUGCUUGAACUUUGAUGGGCUCAUCAAAGGCAAACUAUAAGGUUUUUUAGGACUUGCAAUUUCAUCUACCCUUCUUAUUGGUUUUGAGGAUUCAUUUGAAAAUAAGUAAUACAAUUGAAUCCCUUACCUUUCUUACUCAUGCUGGUAGAAUCUCUUGGAUUUUUAUAAGGCCAGAAAAGGUAAAUGGCCUCAUUUUUCAUUGGAUAAUUGCAUUCUUCCCUCAAAUGUAGAAUGGACAUACUAUGUUCAUACUCACUUUUCAUCGUUAAAUGCUGUGUGCACUGUUUGGUAGCUGUCAUGUUACACUUAGGUACAGCUGCAUUUUGGAAGAGGAUGGAAAGAUUCUUUAUAUUUACUUGGGUGCCGAUAGUUGUAAACUAAGUUAAUGUUUAAACAACUCUAUCAAUGUUUUGUGGGGCUAUUAAGUCCCACAGCACUUGAUUUUAGUGCAAAGAAGUUCUUUAUUUAGGCACUGAUUUAGUAGCAGUUCAGAAACUUGAAAACAUGUCCCUGCCUUUGUAAAAUAUGUGAGAUUCUUUGGAAUGAAUGGUACCUAUGGUAUUUUCAGCCAGUCUUUAAGCUCGAGCAGGGACAGAGGGCAGACCUGCUCCUAACUCUGGGGACUCCUUGAGCACUUACUGUGCAAACAGACCUUAGAGCCUGCGGCCAUUUGGCGCAUAAAACGUUAAAACCAACGCAGGGAUGCAGAGAGAAAGGGCAUAGCAGGCACUAUACAUUUCUUUGGGCCUUGUGGCAAACACAAGAAAAAUAAACUUACAUUAAUUUUUGCUAAACUAUGUGUAUCAAAAGACUAUUUAGCACAUAACAGCAGUUCGCAGACAGUGAUUUAUAAGGAAUUUCCAGGGUUGGUUUAUUCAGCUGCUCUUAUCAAAGCAUCCGUCUCCAAGUAGCCUUCCUGCUGAUUGCUGUGUAGUCCUGAUCUCCCUUGAGUUUUUUGAGAGGUGCCUUUCUCAUCUAAAUUACACAGAUGAGCAUUUCCUAUUGCUGUUGAGGUUUGCUCUUUCUUCGCACAUUUCUUUAGUAUAUCAUCAACCUUCACCAGUUUGGUUAAUGAUAAUAUAACUGAGGAUAUCACGGGUGAAAGGAGAGCGCCAGACCCAGGGAGGCUGGGGCAAGUUGCAGUAAUGAAGCCUUCAGGCAGUCAGAGGAGAGGAGGUAUCAGUACCUGCAAAACUCACACCUAUUCCAGGGAUGCAAAAUAUGACGUAUAUGUAAAAUGGGAUGAUGUAGGCAGGCAAUUUGUCUUUUUUACACUGGCCUUUUCUGUGUGUGUUCAAGUACUACUGUAGCUGCUCUGGAAAAGUUCGAGGUAAGGUAUGGAAGGUUUCAUUUGGGGACAUGGAUGCUAGAGCAUUAAUCCCAUCUGAAUAAAGCACUACUGGUAUUUGAAAGUAAGUUGACCUCCAAGGAAAAAUGAUCUAUGUUGUCCAAAUAAUGAGAGGAAAAAACAUGACACAGAGUUACAGUGGAACCAGCAUUUCCAGCCUCAAAUUGUACACCGAUAAAGGAAACCUGGGUCUUCCUGGGUCAAGGCUUGCACCAAGCCUGUCAACAGCAAUGUGUCCUCCUGAUCUGGUCACACGACGAGGGAAGCAUUGUUCAGCUGUGAUUGCCCCAAGAUGUUUGCUAUCACUCCUCUGCUGGAGGUUUCCUCCGGCACAGCUGAGCCAGCAGGAGGGAUGACGUGAGCGGGGUCUGUGCCAAGGCAGCCCGGCUAGCUCAAACCACGCUCUGCAAACGCAGCCCUGCCCUUUGCGCUAACACGCUCUGUCGUAUUCCCAUUACAGUCCUGAAAGUUAUCAAAUGCUUUCCGUAUGGUGUGCUGAAUUUCCUCCCUACUUACAGAUAUGGAACUGGAUUUAAAAGAUUUAAAAGGGCUGGAACCGUUUUCCCACUACUCCUAUCUGGUAUGACACACAGUCUGUGUCACAUGGUGAGAAAAAGGCCACAGCUCUACCAAGUCUCCUUCUCACUUUCUCCACACCCCUCAGGGUCAAAAUAGCACCUCCAAUAGUCACCUCUUGUGCCUACACACCUCCUCAAUUUAAAACUGUUACCAAACUCGACUAGCAUGCAGGUGCUUUUUUUGCAGCAAUAUUGUUAAUGAAGAUACUAAAUAAAACGGGCCUCAGGACCAGUUCUGGAACAGACACCUAACACCUACUUCUGAGUGUGUAGUACUGCUGUCAGGAGACACCCACUUGCCUACUACAUAUUUCUUACACUAAUUUCUGUCUUUUCUAUCUUACCUAAUCAUUUUCCAUGCGGACCCAUAUCAAAUACUUUGCUGAAAUCCAGACAGACCGGGUCUACUGCAUUUCCUUUCUCCAAAAAAUGUAUUUUCUUAUCAAAGACAGAUAAAGGAUUGGUUUGGUAAACGCAUGCUGUAUUCUUAUCGCGCUGCCUCCUGCGGCUCUUAACAACAUCUAUUAAAGAAACAAUUUUUAUGUGUUAAGGGUAUGUGUGACUGCAAGUGUGUGCAUGUGCAUGCAAACAUACUUGUCUGUUCCUUUCUUUCUCCCAGUAACUUUUGAAUCUCUUGGCCAAUUUAAAACAACUUUGUGAAAGGAGUAAAGUUAACAAAGAUUAAAAUCCAUUCCUUUGAGAUUAGUGAAAACAGACAUGCAGGCAGAGGCAAGAAAUCUUAUUCAUGCUCCUAGCCAAGGAAAUGCUGCAGGACCAACAUUUUAAAUCCUCCACUUUGUGAAGACCCUUCACCGAAGCCCAUGCCUUCUUGGCCACUGCUGCUCACCAAGCUGCUUGUUCAAAAGCCUUACAUGCUACGUAGGUAAGAAUCCCAGGUCUGUAGAUAGCAGGGUUGCUCACCUCCUUCUUAUACAUAAAUACUGCAAAUCUAACCAAGUGGCAGCACCAGUUAACGCAACCAGCUCUCUGAGCAGUGGAGACGAGCAGCCUGGAUCCUGCAGCUGUACAGGCCCCUGAGAAGAGCGCCAGCUGGAGAGGCACAAGGCUUGGGAAUGAAAGAUUUGGACUGUAGCUAGGUUGUUUGCUGGCAGGUAGGAAAUGCGCUGCCCAUGCCAGGGCAUCCCCCGGCAGGGUGCCAGAGCCAUGGUAUUAUGCCAGCAGCUGUCUCCCCUGGCUAGCGCCACUGGCUUGACAGGGACUGUGCUGCUCCUAACUGGAGUCACCUUUGGUAAAAUGUUGCCCUGUUAAACAAGAGGGCCAGGGAGCAAGUGCUGGACAUCCUGGCUGCUCACACUGCUUACCUGAUAGCUCACUUCUGGCUUUGUUCUGGCUUCUCCAACGAGAGCGCACCACAAAAAAAUUCUCCAUCUCUGUGGUGGGCAAGAACUGGGUGGUUUUGGCCAAGGAUCUGUCUCUGACUCUAUUUUAUUCGUGCUGUGAAUAUAGCUCUUCUCCCCUACAAGCCGUGGCUGUCAGAAAGGAGACCUCUCCGAGGCUUUGAGAACAUGCAAGCUGAGCAGGGUCCUUUCCUUCAGACUGUUCCUCUCCCUCACUGUCCUAUGCCACAGAGGUUGCAGAUUUGUUAUGUUGACAGGCAUUGGAACAUGUGCCUACCUGGCUGCAGAACACGCACAUUUAUAACUGGCCAAAGAAUAAGAAGAACAUCCUUCUGCGGU